rnacentral:tRNA from 1 species
GGGGUGUUAGUAAACUAAUUACAUAGCCUUGUCAAGACUAAAUCACAGGUGAAACUCCCGUACACCCCC